AAACUCUACAAUGCAGGCAACUGCGAUAGGGGAACAUCGAGUGGUACUCAUAUUGGGUGCCUGUCCACCCGCCUAAAAAGCGGGUGUUAGCAAGGGCCGGGCAAGACCGGUGCCAGCCGCCGCGGUAAUACCGGCGGCUCGAGUGGUGGCCGAUAUUAUUGAGUCUAAAGGGUCCGUAGCCGGCUUUGCAAGUCUCUCGGGAAAUCCAGCGGCUUAACCGUUGGUCGUCCGGGGGGGUACUACAUUGCUUGGGACUGGGAGAGGUAGGAGGUACUCAGGGGGUAGGAGUGAAAUCCUGUAAUCCUUUGGGGACCACCGGUGGCGAAGGCGUCCUACCAGAACAGGUCCGACGGUGAGGGACGAAAGCUAGGGGCACGAACCGG
rnacentral:rRNA from 1 species